AGAGCAACCCUUCCAGUUUCAAACCAAUUAUACGCGCCGUCUCGUUACGCGUGGAACACACGCGUAACUGGACGGUGGCUUUGAAAUGUUUGAUGUUAUUGCACGGCUUGUUCUU
rnacentral:sRNA from 1 species